UACGUAGGGGCUAGCGUUGUCCGGAUUUAUUGGGCGUAAAGAGCGUGUAGGCGGCCAGGUAGGUCCGUUGUGAAAACUCGAGGCUCAACCUCGAGACGUCGGCGGAAACCCUCUGGCUAGAGUCCGGAAGAGGAGAGUGGAAUUCCUGGUGUAGCGGUGAAAUGCGCAGAUAUCAGGAAGAACACCCGUGGCGAAGGCGGCUCUCUGGACGGUACUGACGCUGAGACGCGAAAGCGUGGGAGCGAACAGG
rnacentral:rRNA from 1 species